UAGUCCGCCCGCUCGCCCCUCCCCAGCCGGCCAGCGCCGAGACGUCCGAUGCUAGAUCAUCCUAGCCGUGCGUCCACGUUCGUCCGUGUGUCCCUCUUAGUAGAACUAUAAUAAAGUAGAAAAUCAAUCGGAGUCUCGGUAGUUUAUAUGCCUGAUUUGUGUGUCCGUGUGUCCGUGUCUGUGCCUGAUUUGUGUGUGGUGAUGUUCUAAGUAUGGUCGUUGUUUCAGCAUGGAUGGACAUNNNN
rnacentral:lncRNA from 1 species